rnacentral:rRNA from 1 species
GACGGAGGAUGCAAGCGUUAUCCGGAAUGAUUGGGCGUAAAGCGUCCGCAGGUGGCAGUUCAAGUCUGCUGUCAAAGACCGGGGCUUAACUUCGGAAAGGCAGUGGAAACUGAACAGCUAGAGUAUGGUAGGGGCAGAGGGAAUUCCUGGUGUAGCGGUGAAAUGCGUAGAUAUCAGGAAGAACAUCGGUGGCGAAGGCGCUCUACUGGACCACAACUGACACUCAGGGACGAAAGCUAGGGGAGCGAAUGGG